rfam:Lupinus angustifolius cultivar Tanjil chromosome LG18, whole genome shotgun sequence.
AUGAAGCUCUUUUGGCAAAAAUCCAUCUAUGGUUCUUGAUUCUUGAAGAAGCAUGAAUUAACAUUGUGAAAGGGUCCUCACCAUUCACACUACUCCACUUCCAACAGUUUGUUUGGGCUAUAGCUAUUGGUUUCUGUAUUAUUCUCUCUGAGUAGCAGAAGCAUAUAAGCAUUCUCCAUUGGAGCAAAGGCUUUCUUUGGCUACAGCUAGGGCAAGCCGGCAAGUCACAAAAAGGCAUGGACUUCAUUAUGGGUCCU